rnacentral:lncRNA from 1 species
UAUUCAUCAUCUUAAAAUAUAAUCAAAGAAGAAUAUUUACUCUAAGAAAUAAGAAGAAACUAUGUUUUAUUGCUACAAUUUAUUAAUGGAUGUCUGGACUGUUUUUUGGAUUGCAAAAGGAAAGGUUAUUUUGAAAGUGUGUCUUGUCAGAUGUUGCCAGGGGGGGAAAGGUGAAAUGUGUGCUUAAGUUGUGAAAGAGGAAGUCUUAUAUGUGUUAACUUUUAUCAUAGACAAGCGAUAUUUUAGCGAAGUAAGACGCAUGACUGUGGUCAAGUCAUCUGUUAGAAAGAUCAUGGGAUGCUUAAACUAUUGAACCUUAAAUUUGUCAGUUAUGCUAGAAUUUAGCCAAUAGGAAAUAAGACCAUAUUUGGAGUUCUGAUUCAAGCUAAACGAAAGGCCGGUUCCGGGUCAUAUGUAUAAAAUAUGAGGAAUUGUAACAUGAUGUUAGAUUGCUUCUUGCCAAUCUCCAUGAGAUAUCUCUGUGUAUUGUAAUGGUCAAUUAAACGCUUUUUAUUGAACCUGGUAAUAUUUUUGUCUACUUCCACAGUUGGGGGCUCUUUGUCCGGGAUCAGAAUACCACAGACACCAGCGGAACACCUGCACCUGCC